UCGGUGUAAGCAAUUAUGGUAAUUCAAAAUGCCCUUUAACGAGGUGUCUUCGCUAGACAGACCGAGCGUGGAAGACCGACAGAAAGACAGCAGUGCAAAUGUACUUAGACUUGAGUAUUUCAACAACUCUUCUCUUCCAACUUGUUGGACAAUCAAACGUACCUACGGGGGAAGGGUGGCCAGCCAGACAGGAGGGUGAUUUUUACUAAGGAGGAGAAGGGGGGCCGUGCUGACUGAGAUACAUGCUGGCCAUUUUGGAGUGAAGCGCAUGAUUGCCAAAAUCAACAUACACUUAUUCUGACAGAGAAUUGUAAAGGAGGUGGACAGCUGGGCAAUUGAAAUAACCUUUUGUUUAUGAAACACAUUCUAUAUCUGAAAUUAUGAUUUAAAUUAAUGUUAUAUCAGAGAGCACACAAUGUUUCAAUUUGAAAUGUUUUGCUUAAAGGUCAGCACCCUUUCUAGCCUGUCAGAAGUUUGAGAGGGCGACGACUGUGGCACCGGAAUUGAAGCCCAUCAAAGUUGUUUCACCAUGUGACAUGAUCGGGGUGGACCUCAUCGGACACUUCACGAAAUCUAGGCAUGGCAACAGCUGGUGUCUGAUGGCAACCGAUCACUUUACCAAGUGGAUGGAGGCAAUACCCAUUAAAGUCAGUAAAGGAGGAGUACGUGCUUAACUCUAUAUUCCCUUCUGUAACCCUUAAAAAAGGGUGCUUGGAACCAAAAAUCGAUUUUUGUUUUGUAUGAUACCCAUCAAAGACAAAACUGGCGAGGCCACCUCCAAGGCGAUGACAGACAUCUUAUACACACGGUUCUCCUGAGGUCAUCUUGAGUGACCGAGGUCAUGAACACUGGAACAAGGUUUGGUGAAUGGAUCAACUAGAGCCUCAAGACUGCCAUGGGCAAGUCCCUUGAUUGGUAGCAGAAAGGGUGGGAGAACAACCUGAAGGUAAUUCUCUUUGCACACAGCAACAGCUUCCAGGCCUCCACCGAUUAUGGACGGGAACCGCAGCAGUUGACUGAGAUCACUGAAACUCCACCUGAUGUGGUGGAAGUUGUUGAACCAGAUCAGAACGCCUUCAAGGACCACCUUCAGGCACGGGCUGAGAAGGAUGUGGAGGUUUGACUAGGUGAGACUGAACAUCGACAAGGUGCAGGAGAAACAGGAGAGCGACUGGAACAGAAUCAAGAAGGGGACCAAGUGCUACUACAUCCGGGACCAGACUGGCCGAGCCCCCCAGGAUGUAUCCCAUCCACCAGAACCAGUGAGUUCGGAUCAGUCUGAUUCUCUGUGCCCUGAGCCGGAGGGGGACCAGCUUGAGGAGUUCUGCCUAACACCCAGAUGUGGAUCCACCUGAUCCUCCAUUACCAACCAACUUUUCAUUUACAUCUACUGUUAUUGUCAUUAUCUGCUAAGAGUUUCCUUGCUCUACAUAAUGUGAGAUACACAGAUGCACUGCAAACACUCAGAACAAAGAGAGCAGCAGUGCCUGGACUUUGCAGUCUCCCUCUUCAAGUCCCCCUUCUGAGACUGGCUGCCUGUUGAGAACAAGUGACAGGCAGAACCUCCAACUCACACAGCAACCACCUCCUCAAUAUUCCACACACCAGAAUUCUGUAUUUUAGUCUGAUUGCCAUGUGAGUGUACAAAAAUCUGUGAAAAUAAAUGUCACAAC